rnacentral:lncRNA from 1 species
GUUUACAAAACUAGGAGCAUCAGCUCUCCUUUUUCCAGUGAGUUUGCAGCAAAGCAGGGGUGGUGACUGCAGUUGCAGAGAAAGAAGGCAGCUGCUAAGCAUUGUCUAUGUUUUAAUAAGCGUAUCUCAGUUCUCUGUUUUUUUACAAUUCCAACGACUGUGACUCUGUGUGGUCACCUCGUGUUGUAUGCAGCAACAUGCAAUGAAUAUUUACUGAGGAUGAAUUGGCACUGUUGUAUGGGAACUGUUGAGUCACGGCCUGAACCACUGAUUGAUCAGCUGAGGCAAGGACUGAGUCAGCCAUAGGAGCACAGGGGAAGGCAAUUCAGCUGUGACCGCCUGGCUCCACCCCUCCCAGAUCCCAUUUAAGGGCUGACAGGCAGUAGAAAAGAAUCUCUUUCUGGAGGUUCCUCCUCUGUGGAGUCUUUCCUGUGAAGCUAGAUCUUUGGACACAGCUGAGCAUUCCUUCCCUGUUCGUUUCUUUUCCCAAUUUCAUCAUGAUAAUCUUUCCAGCUGUAGCAACAACUGUAUAACACAGCACUAUGGGAUGUGUGAUGAAACAGAGAGGACCAUCUGGGUCAUCUUGUCGAUACCACAGCCUCAAUGUGCCAUCUCCCGUCUGCUAUGCUGGAGGCAGAGGUCCUAUGGUGGCCUGUGGGAGACCUCGGCCAGGAGUCACCAUCCUCUCAGUCGUCUUCUCUAGAAAAAGAAAGCUUGAGCUACAGACACAAGCUGUGACCCAGAAGCCAGGGAUCCCGUCUGGGCAGAAGGAUGCCCUUAGCAUUAGUUCAGCCAUGCUCUAUCUUAAACUAGAGCCUGGGUGA